GCUUGUCUCAAAGAUUAAGCCAUGCAUGUCUUAGUGUAAAUAACUCUUAUGAAACUGCGAAUGGCUCAUUAAAUCAGUUAUCAAAUACGUGAUGGUCGCCUACUACAUGGAUAACCGUAGUAAUUCUAGAGCUAAUACAUGCUAAAAACCCCGACUUCGGAAGGGGUGUAUUUAUUAGAUACAAAACCAAUGCCCUUCGGGGCUCCUUGGUGAUUCAUGAUAACUAUACGAAUCGCACGGCCUUGCGCCGGCGAUGGUUCAUUCAAAUUUCUUCCCUAUCAACUUUCGAUGUUUGGGUAUUGGCCAAACAUGGUUGCAACGGGUAACGGAGGGUUAGGGCUCGACCCCGGAGAAGGAGCCUGAGAAACGGCUACUACAUCCAAGGAAGGCAGCAGG
rnacentral:rRNA from 1 species